ACAACAAGGCGACCCAGACCCUGACUUCCUUAAAUGACGCGGAAGAGCUGUGUUUGUAGGCGUGGAGCUGCUCGUGGGGCUGUCAUUGGCGUGAUUUCCUGCGGCAGUCGGGGGAGUAUUGCGAGACUGCGGGUGUGGUCUGCAGGGGUGCUGCGGAGAUUCCCACCCUGGUUAGGGCGGGUGGGGUCCCACCGGAGAGCCCGGGCGGUCCGGACACAGCAGGGGAUGAAGUUGGCUUUCCUUUCCUCAGGAAGACUUCAUAAAGGACUGAGCGAUGAGCAGGAUUAAAAAUAAUUCAUUCUGUUUAUUAAUAUGACUUUCACUUUCAAACCUCGUAUUCUCCCACCCUCACAGAAGAAAUCACUCCAUUGAAAAAUAAGGAUGUCAGAAAGAUGGAUCUCCAAAGCCAACCAUUUCCUGAACGGUGUGGAUUUCUGUAAGCAGAGCCUCAUCUUUGAGUUUCAGCUGCAGAAACAAGAUGGGGAAACUGCAGGUGUAUGUUUCCCUCAGCGGAAAUCCAUCAAGCACCGGGGCUCACAAUCUACAUUCUGGGUCUUACAGCCAUCUGCCGCAUACCUUCAUUGUGUACUUGUAGGCCUGCUCAGCUUCCAGCUGUCGUCCAACCUGAAAGAAACACACAGAACAUAGUCUCUCUGCAGCCCUGGCUGGCCUUCACCCCAUAGAGAACUACUUUCCUCUGCCUCUACUUCUACCUCCUGAAUGAUGGAAGGUGCUGUCCCAGCCUCAAGGCAGGGACUCUGGACAUGAUAGACAUCAACAGCCUCACAGCCUUGGUGGAAAACAUCUGUCUACAACCCCAGCACUGGGUGGGUAAGGGGAAAAGAUGAGGAGUUUAAGGACAUUUUUGGCUAAACAGUGAGUUUGAGGCCACCCUAGGUACAUGAGAAUCCCAUCCCUGGCACUGGGCAGGACGGGACUUAGUCUGCUGACCAUGUUAGCAGAUUUGCAGAUGAACUGCGCCAUGUCUAACAGGUGCUUUGAAAGAUGCAGAGGAAAGAAAUGCUGAGGCAAGGAUGAAGACAACGGUCACCUAAAGUUAGUGACCGCCAAAGCAGGGGAGAGUAGAAGGCAUUUUCUUCUCUUUACAGACUAACAAUAUUUUAAACUGUCCAUGAUAAAAAGCUAAAAGAAAACAUUGACCCCGUAGCUGGUUGUGUAGCCCUGUGAGCUCACUUUGGUCUAUUUAUAUCUCAGAUUUCUCAGGCUAGGUUUGCCUAAGAUUUUUUUUUUUUUUUUUUUUUUUUCGUUUUUUUUCAUCUAGUUUAAUUUUAUUUCAUGUGUAUUGGUGUUUUGUCUGCAUUCAUUGGAUCCCCUGGACUUGUACUUACAGACA